CAAUAGCGUAUAUUAAAGUUGUUGCGGUUAAAAAGCUCGUAGUUGGAUCUCGGCAGGCAGGGGGUGGUUCGCUCUUAGCGCUACUGCCCCAUUUGCCUGUGUGAUUGGCGGAGGUUUCGGGGUGCUCUUCGUUGAGUGACCCGGGGCGCCGUCAGGUUUACUUUGAAAAAAUUAGGGUGCUCAAAGCAGGCUUUUCACGCUUGAAUAUUCGUGCAUGGAAUAAUGGAAUAGGAACUCGUUUCUAUUUUGUUGGUUUUCGGAAAUCGAGUUAAUGAUUAAUAGGGACAAUUGGGGGCAUUAGUAUUCAGACGACAGAGGUGAAAUUCUUGGACCGUCUGAAGACUAACUACUGCGAAAGCAUUUGCCAAGAGUGUUUUCAUUAA
rnacentral:rRNA from 1 species